rnacentral:rRNA from 1 species
UACAGGGGGUGCAAACGUUGCUCGGAAUCAUUGGGCGUAAAGCGCACGUAGGCGGUUCGUUAUGUCGGAUGUGAAAUCCCUCGGCUUAACCAAGGAAGUGCAUCCGAAACUACAGAGCUUGAGUACUUAAGAGGAUCGCGGAAUUCCCGGUGUAGAGGUGAAAUUCGUAGAUAUCGGGGAGGAACACCAGUGGCGAAGGCGGCGAUUCUGGGGAAGAUACUGACGCUGAGGUGCGAAAGCGUGGGGAGCAAACAGG